GUAUCCCCAUUUCCCUUUCCAACUGACUAGGUAUCCCCCUUUCCCUUUCCAAAUGACUAGGUAUCCCCAUUUCCCUUUCCAACUGACUAGGUAUCCCCAUUUCCCUUUCCAACUGACUAGGUAUCCCCCUUUCCCUUUCCAACUGACUAGGUAUCCCCCCUUUCCCUUUCCAACUGUCUAGGUAUCCCCAUUUCCCUUUCCAACUGACUAGGUAUCCCCCAUUUCCCUUUCCAACUGACUAGGUAUCCCCAUUUCCCUUUCCCAAUAACUGGAAGCAUGUAACUGUAUUUCCUAGAAGGUUGUUGUCUUGGGCACCUGGAGGUUCAGCAGUGUGACCCAAUCAGCAAUUUCCCUGUAUGUAUCCAGUGAAAAGGAUGUGUCUUCUCAGGUUUUGGCCUGCCAUAUGAGUUCUGUUAUACUCACAGACACCAUUCAAACAGUUUUAGAAACUUCAGAGUGUUUUCUAUCCAAAUCUACUAAUAAUAUGCAAAUAUCUGACUCUGGGCCCGAGUAUUAGGCUGUUUACUCUGGGCACGCUUUUCAUCCGAAAUCGAAAAUACUGCCCCCUAUACCUUGACAGGUUAAACAGCAAGUGGUGGUUCUUCUAUCAGUCACGACAGCUCCACCUGCUGGCAGGUUUGGAAAAGCUCCAUGAGUUUAGAUCCACUCACCGUCCAUUUCUUUUGGCUCCAUCCUCCCGUUUCUUCUGGCACACUGUCAGAGGUUGAUCUCUUGCUGGAGGCGGAGUUCGCAAGGCACAAAAUCAAGAUCAUCAAUGACCUCAGGCACCCCGAGCCACGGCCUGUUCACCCCUCUACCAUCUAGAAGAUCAUCAAGGACCUCAGCCACCCCGAGCCACGGCCUGUUCACCCUGCUACCAUCUAGAAGAUCAUCAAGGACCUCAGCCACCCGAGCCACGGCCUGUUCACCCCUCUACCAUCUAGAAGAUCAUCAAGGACCUCAGCCACCCCGAGCCACAGCCUGUUCACCCCGCUACCAUCUAGAAGAUCAUCAAGGACCUCAGCCACCCCGAGCCACAGCCUGUUCACCCCGCUACCAUCUAGAAGAUCAUCAAGGACCUCAGCCACCCCGAGCCACAGCCUGUUCACCCCGCUACCAUCUAGAAGAUCAUCAAGGACCUCAGCCACCCCGAGCCACAGCCUGUUCACCCCUCUACCAUCUAGAAGAUCAUCAAGGACCUCAGCCACCCCGAGCCACAGUCUGUUCACCCCUCUACCAUCUAGAAGAUCAUCAAGGACCUCAGCCACCCCAAGCCACAGCCUGUUCACCCCGCUACCAUCUAGAAGAUAAUCAAGGACCUCAGCCACCCCGAGCCACAGCCUGUUCACCCCUCUACCAUCUAGAAGAUCAUCAAGGACCUCAGCCACCCCGAGCCACAGCCUGUUCACCCCUCUACCAUCUAGAAGAUCAUCAAGGACCUCAGCCACCCGAGCCACGGCCUGUUCACCCUGCUACCAUCUAGAAGAUCAUCAAGGACCUCAGCCACCCGAGCCACGGCCUGUUCACCCCUCUACCAUCUAGAAGGAGGAGACAGUACAAUAACAUCAAAGCUGGGACAGAGAGACUGAAAAACAUUUUCUACCUCAAGGCCAUCAGACUGUUAAAUAGUCACCAUUAGCCAGCCUCCACCCAGUACCCUGCCAUGAACUUUAGUCCCUGUUAACAGUCGGCUACCACCUGGUACUCUACCCUGCACCUUAGAGACUGCUGCCCUAUGAGUCAUUGAACAAUGGUCACUUUAAUCAUGUUUACAUACUGUUUUACCCACUUCACAUAUACGCUGCCGGACAAAAGUUUUAGAACACCUACUCAUUCAAGGGUUUUUCAUUAUUUUUAAACUAUUUUCUACAUUGUAGAAUAAUAGUGAAGACAUCAAACCUAUGAAAUAACACAGAUGGAAUCAUGUAGUAACCCAAAAAAGUGUUAAACAAAUCAAAAUAUAUUUUAGAUUCUUUUGAAGUAGCCACCCUUUGUCUUGAUGACAGCUUUGCACACACUUUUACAGUGAUGAGUGGACACAUUUAUCAUAUGGGAGGUCCUGGUAAUUGAACCCACUACCCUAGUGAUACCAAUGCCAUGCUCUACCAACUGAGAUACUGGACAAAGGACCAACAUUAAAACAUGUGAUUUUACAUUUGAUUACAAGGAUUUGGGAUCCUUGGCAAAUCUCUGGGAUCGCAGAUAAAUUAUAUAGUUGUAGGCUCUGAUCAAGUCGUCGUAGGUUGCAUUAAAAUGAGCAGGUCAAAGACUUUCAUUUUCAAGCCAAUGGGCGCGUUCAAGAGCGAAUGACAUGGCUUGUGGUGCUGGUGAGGGCGUGGUAGGAGGGUUGGCCCCUGACAGCACCACAGGGUGCCAAUAAUUUUGAUACCUGUCUUGUUAACCUGUUGGGGAUAGGGGGCAGUAUUUGCACGGCCGGAUAAAAACGUACCCGAUUUAAUCUGGUUACUACUCCUGCCCAGUAACUAGAAUAUGCAUAUAAUUAUUGGCUUUGGAUAGAAAACACCCUAAAGUUUCUAAAACUGAAUGGUGUCUGUGAGUAUAACAGACCUCAUAUGGCAGGCAAAAACCUGAGAAGAUUCCUUACAGGAAAUGGCCUGUCUGACCAUUCCUUGAGCUUCUUGACUCUGUUUAUUGAAGACUGAGGAUCUUUGCCGUAACGUGACACUUCCUACGGCUCCCAUGGGCUCUCAGAAGGCGGGAAAAAGCUGAACGAUGUAAUUCCAGCCCCAGGCUGAAACACAUUUAGCGCGUUUGGAUGGUGGUCGAUCAGAGGGACAUCAGACUGAGGCUCGUGCACGAGGGGAUCCCAUGCUUUUACUUUCUCUCUCUUUGUACUAAAAGACGAUUUUCCCGGCCGGAAUAUUAUCGCUUUUUUUAUGAGAAAAAUGGCAUAAAAAUUGAUGUUUAAACAGCGGUUGACAUGCUUCGAAGUACGGUAAUGGAAUAUUUAGACAUUUUUUUUUGUCACGAAACGCGUCGUGCUCAUCACCCUUAUUUACCCUUUCGGAUAGUGUCUUGAACGCACG
rnacentral:lncRNA from 1 species